GACGAACGCCGGCGGCGUGCCUAAUACAUGCAAGUCGAACGAGAAUUUUUUACACCGAGUGCUUGCACUCACCGUAAGAAAUUCGAGUGGCGGGCGGGUGAGUAACACGUGGGUAACCUGCCCAAAAGAAGGGGAUAACAUUUGGAAACAAAUGCUAAUACCGUAUAACCAUGAUGACCGCAUGGUCGUUAUGUAAAAGGUGGUUUUGCUAUCGCUUUUGGAUGGACCCGCGGCGUAUUAACUAGUUGGUAGGGUAACGGCCUACCAAAGGUGAUGAUACGUAGCCGAGUUGAGAGACUGAUCGGCCACAAUGGGACUGAGACACGGCCCAUACUCCUACGGGAGGCAGCAGUAGGGAAUCUUCCACAAUGGGCGCAAGCCUGAUGGAGCAACGCCGCGUGAAUGAAGAAGGUCUUCGGAUCGUAAAAUUCUGUUGUUGGAGAAGAAUAUGAGUAAUAGUAACUGAUUAUUCACUGACGGUAUCUAACCAGCAAGUCACGGCUAACUACGUGCCAGCCGCCGCCGUAA
rnacentral:rRNA from 1 species